rnacentral:tRNA from 1 species
GCGGGAGUAGUUCAAUUGGUUAGAGCACCAGCCUGUCACGCUGGAAGUUGCGAGUUCGAUUCUCGUCUCUCGCG